UUAACUAAUUUGUAUAUUGCUCAGACAGUAUGAUAAAAGAGUUUUGGGUCCUCUGGCGGGCUCUGACCAGCUAUAGCCGGCGGUCGUGAGACGGGCCCGCCAAAGCAACAAAGGUAUUGUAAACAAAGGGUGGGAGAUAUACCCCGUAAAGGGCAUGUUCUCAGUAAUGAUCCUUCCGCAGGUUCACCUACGGAAA
rnacentral:misc_RNA from 1 species